GUUUACUUCCUGGUUGCACCAUGAGAAGACGAUGGCUGCAUCAAAACUCCCCAAAACAUCAAAAGUUUGAGUCAAGUUCUGGAUAUGUUGGAUCUAGGUGACCGCCUAGACAAGGCAUGCAACAUUGCAGUUCUCUCUCAAAAUGAGAAAGAGGCUGUCCUGAGGGAUUGUGAUAGCGAUGGGUCAGAUAUGGACUAUGAGGGGGAGACAGGCCAUUGGCCAGCCAGACUGGUUGAAUGUAUAUCCUGAACCUAUCACAAACAGAUCAUGACAGGAACAACGUUAUCAGUGAUGAAGACCUACCUCCUCACCACCAAGUAACAAUGUUGAAAUACUUUGACGCUUGUUUUUGUUUUUUUUGUCUUUUCUCUCAGUAUUCAUAGCGGUAUUAAGGGUUUUUGAUAUGUAAAAUAGUCACACUAGAAUGUGACGGGGCAUUCUAGUAGCAAUGCUGGGGACUGUCAGUGACAGAGUUUUAAAUGUGUUAAUAACUGGGCUGGGGACUGUCAGUGACAGAGUUUUAAAUGUGUUAAUAACUGGGCUGGGGACUGUCAGUGACAGAGAUUUAAAUGUGUUAAUACUGGGCUGGGGACUGUCAGUGAUAGAGUUUUAAAUGUGUUAAUAACUGGGCUGGGGACUGUCAGUGACAGAGUUUUAAAUGUGUUAAUAACUGGGCUGGGGACUGUCAGUGACAGAGAUUUAAAUGUGUUAAUAACUGGGCUGGGGACUGUCAGUGACAGAGUUUUAAAUGUGUUAAUAACUGGGCUGGGGACUGUCAGUGAUAGAGUUUUAAAUGUGUUAAUAACUGGGCUGGGGACUGUCAGUGACAGAGUUUUAAAUGUGUUAAUAACUGGGCUGGGGACUGUCAGUGACAGAGAUUUAAAUGUGUUAAUAACUGGGCUGGGGACUGUCAGUGACAGAGAUUUAAAUGUGUUAAUAACUGGGGUGGGGACUGUCAGUGAUAGAGUUUUAAAUGUGUUAAUAACUGGGCUGGGGACUGUCAGUGACAGAGUUUUAAAUGUGUUAAUAACUGGGCUGGGGACUGCUAGUGACACAGUUUUAAAUGUGUUUAUAACUGGGCUAGGGACUGCCAGUGACAGAGUUUUAAAUGUGUUAAUAACUGGUCUGGGGACUGCUAGUGACAGAGUUUUAAAUGUGUUAAUAACUGGUCUGGGGACUGCUAGUGACAGAGUUUUAAAUGUGUCAAUAACUGGGUUGGGAUAUAUAAGCAUUUUGAUGACUGCAUAGGAGAAAUAUGUUAAUACAGUAUACAUCACAUUAUCCCACCGGUCACAAUUGUGACCGACUAUAAAAACACAUUUUUUCAUGUACUUUUCAAUGAACAUUUCCAAAAAGAAUGAUUGAUUACUUCAAAGGGUUGCUAAUGACACAUGAUUUGGAUAUUUUCAUGUCUGGGAAAAAUGUAGGGAUUAAAUGGGUUAAGCAAAUCAGACGGCACUAUUAUUAUUAUUUUUUUACGGAUUGCAAGGGGGACACUCCAAUACUCAGACUGUAACGUCCUGACCAGAGUUCGUAUGUGUUUUGCUUGUUUAGUGUUGGUCAGGACGUGAGCUGGGUGGGAAUUCUAUGUUGUGUGUCUAGUUUGUCUGUUUCUAUGUUGGGUUAAAUGUGUUGCCUGAUAUGGUUCUCAAUUAGAGGCAGGUGUUUGACGUUUCCUCUGAUUGAGAACCAUAUUAAGGUAGGCUGUUCCCACUGUUUGUUUGUGGGUGAUUGUUUCCUGACUUUGUGUUUUGUCUGCACCAGCUAGGACUGUGACGGUUAGUUUGUUUUGUCAUUUUGUAUAGUGUCUUGUUUUGUGUUAAUUAAAUAAUGGAAAAUUA